rnacentral:rRNA from 1 species
UGGGGAAUCUUGCGCAAUGGCCGAAAGGCUGACGCAGCGACGCCGCGUGUGGGAUGACGCCUUUCGGGGUGUAAACCACUGUUGCCCGGGACGAACAGCCUUUUUCGAGAGGCCUGACGGUACCGGGUGAGGAAGCACCGGCUAACUCCGUGCCAGCAGCCGCGGUAAUACGGAGGGUGCGAGCGUUGUCCGGAAUCACUGGGCGUAAAGGGCGCGUAGGCGGCCUGGCAAGUCGAUGGUGAAAGCCCGUGGCUCAACUGCGGGUCGGCCAUCGAUACUGCGAGGCUCGAGUCGACUAGAGGCAGAUGGAAUUCCGGGUGUAGCGGUGGAAUGCGUAGAGAUCCGGAAGAACACCGGUGGCGAAGGCGGUCUGCUGGGGUCGCACUGACGCUGAGGCGCGACAGCGUGGGGAGCAAA